AAGUGACGCGCGUGGGUAACAAAAACCAGGGCGGGAGGGGCGCUGGGGUUCUCCACGUGCAUCGGGUGUCGGAAGGUUGGUUUGGGAGCUUCAGCAGCUGCACAAUGUUUGGAGAAAUAUCAUCAUUCUCCAGGGAAUGUGAAAAACCCUUGGAAAUACUCAGAGAGAAGAAACCCACAUUUGUGUGUGCCCCAAUGGUUCGGUAUUCCAAGCUGGCAUUCAGAAACCUUGUGCGAC